CCUGGCUCAGGAUGAACGCUGGCGGCGUGCUUAACACAUGCAAGUCGAGCGAGAAGUUCUUGAAUGAUCCUUCGGGUGAAUGAUGGAAUGGAAAGCGGCGGACGGGUGAGUAACGCGUGGGCAACCUGCCCCAUACAAGAGGAUAGCCACUGGAAACGGUGAUUAAUACUCUAUAAGACCACAGAAGCACAUGCUUCAGAGGUAAAAACUCCGGUGGUAUGGGAUGGGCCCGCGUCUGAUUAGCUAGUUGGUAAGGUAACGGCUUACCAAGGCGACGAUCAGUAGCCGACCUGAGAGGGUGAUCGGCCACACUGGAACUGAGACACGGUCCAGACUCCUACGGGAGGCAGCAGUGGGGAAUAUUGCACAAUGGGCGAAAGCCUGAUGCAGCAACGCCGCGUGAGCGAUGAAGGCCUUCGGGUUGUAAAGCUCUUUUCUUAGGGAAGUAUUAAUGAUGAAGGGUACCUAAGGAGUAAGCCCCGGCUAACUACGUGCCAGCAGCCGCGCGGUAAUACGUAGGGGCAAGCGUAUCCGGAAUCACUGGGCGUAAAGGGAGUGUAGGCGGUCAAGCAAGUCAGAGGUGAAAGGCAUCGGCUCAACCGAUGUAAGCCUUUGAAACUGUUUGACUUGAGUGCAGGAGAGGUAAGUGGAAUUCCUAGUGUAGGCGGUGAUGCGUUAGAUAUUAGGAGGAACAGCAGUGGCGAAGGCGACUUACUGGACUGUAACUGACCGUUAUUUUCCUGCCGGGAAGGAUCCAAUGGGAUUCCCCUACCCUGGUAAAGCAACGCCGUAAACGAUGAAUACUAGGUGUCUGGGGUCGAACCUAGGUGCCGCAGCUAACGCAUUAAGUAUUCCGCCUGGGGAGUACGCACGCAAGUGUGAAACUCAAAGGAAUUGACGGGGACCCGCACAAGCAGCGGAGCAUGUGGUUUAAUUCGAAGCAACGCGAAGAACCUUACCAGGUCUUGACAUGCAGAUGACCGACUCUUAAUCGAGUCUUUCCUUCGGGACAUCUGACACAGGUGGUGCAUGGUUGUCGUCAGCUCGUGUCGUGAGAUGUUGGGUUAAGUCCCGCAACGAGCGCAACCCUUACUUUUAGUUGCCAUCAGGUAAUGCUGGGCACUCUAAAGGGACUGCCGUGGACAACACGGAGGAAGGUGGGGAUGACGUCAAAUCAUCAUGCCCCUUAUGAUCUGGGCUACACACGUGCUACAAUGGUCGGUACAACAGGCAGCGAAAGGGUGACCUGGAGCAAAUCCUAUAAAGCCGAUCUCAGUUCGGAUUGCAGGCUGCAACUCGCCUGCAUGAAGUUGGAGUUGCUAGUAAUCGUGGAUCAGAAUGCCGCGGUGAAUGCGUUCCCGGGUCUUGUACACACCGCCCGUCACACCAUGGAAGCUGGGGGCGCCCGAAGCCCGUGAUCCAACCCCUUUGGGGAGGAAGCGGUCGAAGGUGAAAUCAGUGACUAGGGUGAAGUCGUAACA
rnacentral:rRNA from 1 species